UUUGAUCAUGGCUCAGAUUGAACGCUGGCGGGAUACUUUACACAUGCAAGUCGAACGGCAGCACGGACUUCGGUCUGGUGGCGAGUGGCGAACGGGUGAGUAAUGUAUCGGAACGUGCCUAGUAGCGGGGGAUAACUACGCGAAAGCGUAGCUAAUACGCAUACGCCCUUCCAGGGAAAGCGGGGGACCUUCGGGCCUCGCACUAUUAAACGGCCGAUAUCGGAUUAGCUAGUUGGUGGGCAGCAGCUCCGCAAGGCGACGAUCCGUAGCUGGUUUGAGAGGACGACCAGCCACGCACUGGGACUGAGACACGGCCCAGACUCCUACGAGGCGGCAGUGGGGAAUUUUGGACAAUGGGGAAACCACAGUCAAAGCCAUCCCGCGUGUGCGAUGAAGGCCUUCGGGUUGUAAAGCACUUUUGGCAGGAAAGAAACGGCACGGGAUAAUACCCCGUGCAACUGACAGUACCUGCAGAAUAAGCACCGGCUAACGUGCCAACAGCCGCGGUAAUACGUAGGGUGCAAGCGUUAAUCGGAAUUACUGGGCGUAAAGCGUGCGCAGGCGGUUCGAAAGAAAGAUAAUGAUCCCAGAGCUUAACUGGGAACUGCAUUUUUAACUACCGAGCUAGAGUGUGUCAGAGGGAGGUGGAAUUCCGCGUAGCAGUGAAAUGCGUAGAUAUGCGGAGGAACACCGAUGGCGAAGGCAGCCUCCUGGGAUAACACUGACGCUCAUGCAAGUGGGAGCAAACGGGAUUAGAUACCCUGGUAGUCCACGCCUAAACGAUGUCAAUAGCUGUUGGGGCCUUCCGGGCCUUGGUAGCGCAGCUAACGCGUGAAGUUGACCGCCUGGGAAAUACAGUCGCAAGAUUAAAACUCAAAGGAAUUGACGGGGACCCGCACAAGCGGUGGAUGAUGUGGAUUAAUUCGAUGCAACGCGAAAAACCUUACCUACCCUUGACAUGUCUGGAAUCCGAAGAUUUGGGAGUGCUCGCAAGAGAACCGGAACACAGGUGCUGCAUGGCUGUCGUCAGCUCGUGUCGUGAGAUGUUGGGUUAAGUCCGCAACGAGCGCAACCACUUGUCAUUAGUUGCUACGAAAGGGCACUCAAUGAGACUGCCGGUGACAAACCGGAGAGAGGUGGGGAUGACGUCAGUCCUCAUGGCCCUUAUGGGUAGGGCUUCACCACGUCAUACAAUGGUCGGGACAGAGGGUCGCCAACCCGCGAGGGCAAUCCCGAAACCCGAUCGUCCGGAUCGCAGUCUGCAACUCGACUGCGUGAAGUCCAGGAGAAUCUGGCCAUCAGGAUCGUUUAUGUCGCGGUGAAUACGUUCCCGGGUCUUGUACACACCGCCCGUCACACCAUGGAAUUGGGUUUUACCAAGUAGUUAGCCUAACCGUAAGGAGGGCGAUUACCACGGUAGGAUUCAUGACUGGGGUGAAGUCAUAUUGGUAA
rnacentral:rRNA from 1 species